CCAUUGAAAAAGGAAUCUUAGAGCUAGAAAAUUAACCUCAAGUGUAUGUGACCCAGACACUGUCCCUGAGCAGGGAAUAUCUAGGGAGACCAUGGUCCAGGGCAGUGCUUCUUAAAUGAUGGGAAGAGUCCACCACUUAAAGGAAGUAUUAAGGGAAGACUCCAGGUGCUCUGACCAAGAAAUGUGCCCAGAGGGCUGUUGCCCUGUUUCUAGGCUGCCAGGUGGUUGUCUCACUGCCUUUGUGACCGUCAACCCCGAACAAAAGGAGAACUAAGUGAAGGAGAAGUGAAGAAGAAACAGGAGGGCAACUGGAAGUGGUGAGACAUGGGCAUUAGAAGCUUUAGAGAAAAAAAAAAGAGAACCAAGCCUGGAAGUGGAACACAGGUCAGAGCCACAGAGCCCAGGCCUCUGCUGGACAAGAGGGUCAAGCCUAAGAAGGAAGGAGGG
rnacentral:lncRNA from 12 species